CUCUGAAAUUUUUGCCUACAAUAUCGCAUAAGAUACGAAAAGAUAGAAGGCAAUUAUUAUGGCUUGUAGAUAUUCAUCAUUUAUUUUCGGAACGUAAAAUAGAUGUAUGGAUACUGCAUUUAGUGUAUAUAGACUCAAUCAAACUCAAAGAGUUGAGAUAUUACAUUUUCUUCCCAAAAAGAGAUUUCUGUUAACAUAAUUAUUUUUCGAUAAGAAGUUUAUUAUGAAAGAAGUAAUGGGAGGAAUCUAUAUGGCUCAACAAAGUGUUUAUUUAGUCGUGAGUCUAUAAGUCUAGAUUAGCUACUUAUACACAUAAGAUCUAUGAUAUUUUCUCAAUCUCAGAUCAAAUUGGAUUUGAUAAUGAGGUAUUGGAAGAAAUUGUUCUUCUAAAAGGAUAAGAAGAAAUGAUAUGAAAUAUCGAUCCGAGAAGAUGAUG
rnacentral:lncRNA from 1 species